rnacentral:rRNA from 1 species
UACGUAGGGGGCAAGCGUUGUCCGGAUUUAUUGGGCGUAAAGAGCGUGUAGGCGGCUUUGCAAGUCCGUUGUGAAAACUCGAGGCUCAACCUCGAGACGCCGGUGGAAACUGCAAAGCUAGAGUCCGGAAGAGGCGAGUGGAAUUCCUGGUGUAGCGGUGGAAUGCGCAGAUAUCAGGAGGAACACCAAUAGCGAAGGCAGCUCGCUGGGACGGUACUGACGCUAAGGCGCGAAAGCGUGGGGAGCGAACAGG